rnacentral:rRNA from 1 species
UACGGGGGGAGCAAGCGUUGUUCGGAUUUACUGGGCGUAAAGGGCGCGUAGGCGGCCUCCGCGAAGUCAGUUGUGAAAUCUCCGAGCUUAACUCGGAAAGGUCAACUGAUACUGCGGGGCUAGAGUGCGGAAGGGGCAACUGGAAUUCCUGGUGUAGCGGUGAAAUGCGUAGAUAUCUGGAGGAACACCGGUGGCGAAGGCGGCAUCCUGGACCGGUAGUUGACGCUGAGGCGCGAAAGCGUGGGGAGCAAACA